UACAGAGGGGGCAAGCGUUGUUCGGAAUUACUGGGCGUAAGGGGCGCGUAGGCGGCCUGUUAAGUCGAACGUGAAAUCCCCGGGCUCAACCCGGGAACUGCGUCCGAUACUGGCAGGCUUGAAUCCGGGAGAGGGAUGCGGAAUUCCAGGUGUAGCGGUGAAAUGCGUAGAUAUCUGGAGGAACACCGGUGGCGAAGGCGGCAUCCUGGACCGGCAUUGACGCUGAGGCGCGAAAGCCAGGGGAGCAAACGGG
rnacentral:rRNA from 1 species